rnacentral:rRNA from 1 species
CACGUAGGGGGCGAGCGUUGUCCGGAUUUAUUGGGCGUAAAGAGCUCGUAGGCGGCUCAGUAAGUCGGGUGUGAAAACUCCAGGCUCAACCUGGAGACGCCACCUGAUACUGCUGUGGCUAGAGUCCGGUAGGGGAGCAUGGAAUUCCUGGUGUAGCGGUUGAAAUGCGCAGAUAUCAGGAGGAACACCAGUGGCGAAGGCGGUGCUCUGGGCCGGAACUGACGCUGAGGAGCGAAAGCGUGGGAGCAAACAGG